GAUCAGCCACACUGGAACUGAGACACGGUCCAGACUCCUACGGGAGGCAGCAGUGGGGAAUUUUGGACAAUGGGCGCAAGCCUGAUCCAGCCAUGCCGCGUGAGUGAAGAAGGCCUUCGGGUUGUAAAGCUCUUUCGGUGAAGACGAAACGGUUCGUGCUAAUAACGCGGACUAAUGACGGUACUCACAGAAGAAGCACCGGCUAACUACGUGCCAGCAGCCGCGGUAAUACGUAGGGUGCAGGCGUUAAUCGGAAUUACUGGGCGUAAAGCGUGCGCAGGCGGUUUGCUAAGACAGGUGUGAAAUCCCCGGGCUUAACCUGGGAAUUGCGCUUGUAACUGGCAAGCUAGAGUGUGGCAGAGGGGGGUAGAAUUCCACGUGUAGCAGUGAAAUGCGUAGAUAUGUGGAGGAAUACCGAUGGCGAAGGCAGCCCCCUGGGUUAACACUGACGCUCAUGCACGAAAGCGUGGGGAGCAAACAGGAUUAGAUACCCUGGUAGUCCACGCCCUAAACUAUGUCAACUAGUUGUCGGGGAAGAAAUUCCUUGGUAACGAAGCUAACGCGUGAAGUUGACCGCCUGGGGAGUACGGCCGCAAGGUUAAAACUCAAAGGAAUUGACGGGGACCCGCACAAGCGGUGGAUUAUGUGGAUUAAUUCGAUGCAACGCGAAAAACCUUACCUACCCUUGACAUGCUAGGAAGCCCACAGAGAUGUGGGUGUGCCCGAAAGGGAACCUAGACACAGGUGCUGCAUGGCUGUCGUCAGCUCGUGUCGUGAGAUGUUGGGUUAAGUCCCGCAACGAGCGCAACCCUUGCCAUUAGUUGCUACAUUCAGUUGGGCACUCUAAUGGGACCGCCGGUGACAAACCGGAGGAAGGUGGGGAUGACGUCAAGUCCUCAUGGCCCUUAUGGGUAGGGCUUCACACGUAAUACAAUGGUCGGUACAGAGGGCUGCCAACCCGCAAGGGGGAGCUAAUCCCAGAAAGCCGAUCGUAGUCCGGAUUGUAGUCUGCAACUCGACUGCAUGAAGCCGGAAUCGCUAGUAAUCGCGGAUCAGCAUGUCGCGGUGAAUACGUUCCCGGGUCUUGUACACACCGCCCGUCACACCAUGGGAGUGGGUUCCACCAGAAGUAGUUAGCCUAACCGCAAGGAGGGCGAUUACCACGGUGAGAUUCAUGACUGGGGUGAAGUCGUAACAAGGUA
rnacentral:rRNA from 1 species